UACGUAGGGGGCAAGCGUUGUCCGGAAUUAUUGGGCGUAAAGAGCGCGUAGGCGGUCCGGUAAGUCGGUUGUGAAAGUCGGGGGCUCAACCCUCGGAUGCCGAUCGAUACUGUCGGGCUAGAGUCCGGAAGAGGCGAGUGGAAUUCCUGGUGUAGCGGUGAAAUGCGCAGAUAUCAGGAGGAACACCAAUGGCGAAGGCAGCUCGCUGGGACGGUACUGACGCUGAGGCGCGAAAGUGUGGGGAGCGAACAGG
rnacentral:rRNA from 1 species